rnacentral:rRNA from 1 species
CUUACACAUGCAAGUCGAACGAUGAAGCCCAGCUUGCUGGGUGGAUUAGUGGCGAACGGGUGAGUAACACGUGAGUAACCUGCCCUUAACUCUGGGAUAAGCCUGGGAAACUGGGUCUAAUACCGGAUAGGAGCGUCCACCGCAUGGUGGGUGUUGGAAAGAUUUAUCGGUUUUGGAUGGACUCGCGGCCUAUCAGCUUGUUGGUGAGGUAAUGGCUCACCAAGGCGACGACGGGUAGCCGGCCUGAGAGGGUGACCGGCCACACUGGGACUGAGACACGGCCCAGACUCCUACGGGAGGCAGCAGUGGGGAAUAUUGCACAAUGGGCGCAAGCCUGAUGCAGCGACGCCGCGUGAGGGAUGACGGCCUUCGGGUUGUAAACCUCUUUCAGUAGGGAAGAAGCGAAAGUGACGGUACCUGCAGAAGAAGCACCGGCUAACUACGUGCCAGCAGCCGCGGUAAUACGUAGGGUGCGAGCGUUAUCCGGAAUUAUUGGGCGUAAAGAGCUCGUAGGCGGUUUGUCGCGUCUGUCGUGAAAGUCCGGGGCUUAACCCCGGAUCUGCGGUGGGUACGGGCAGACUAGAGUGCAGUAGGGGAGACUGGAAUUCCUGGUGUAGCGGUGGAAUGCGCAGAUAUCAGGAGGAACACCGAUGGCGAAGGCAGGUCUCUGGGCUGUAACUGACGCUGAGGAGCGAAAGCAUGGGGAGCGAACAGGAUUAGAUACCCUGGUAGUCCAUGCCGUAAACGUUGGGCACUAGGUGUGGGGACCAUUCCACGGUUUCCGCGCCGCAGCUAACGCAUUAAGUGCCCCGCCUGGGGAGUACGGCCGCAAGGCUAAAACUCAAAGGAAUUGACGGGGGCCCGCACAAGCGGCGGAGCAUGCGGAUUAAUUCGAUGCAACGCGAAGAACCUUACCAAGGCUUGACAUGUUCUCGAUCGCCGUAGAGAUACGGUUUCCCCUUUGGGGCGGGUUCACAGGUGGUGCAUGGUUGUCGUCAGCUCGUGUCGUGAGAUGUUGGGUUAAGUCCCGCAACGAGCGCACCCUCGUUCCUGUUGCCAGCACGUCAUGGUGGGGAC